UAACAGGCUUCACAUUGAACGAUCCUAUUU
rnacentral:piRNA from 1 species